rnacentral:lncRNA from 1 species
UCAACUGGCUAUGAGAGGGUAUAUUCAGUUUUUAGGAAGAAAGUGAAAUUAGAUAUGAAUGAAAAGUUAAAUAAGUGUGAAAGGUCUUAGGAAAAUUAUAGAAGUUUAUGCAAUUAGAAUCAAAACUAAAGUAAAACAAAAAAUAUAUAUCUAGGUCGAUACGUGAGAAACAAGACCCAAACGAGUGAAAGUCCUUACUGCCGGAACAAGAUGUAUCGAGUGAUAUAGGAUUCUAGACAUUUGAGCCAUUUUUAUCCCAUAUUCAGUUACAGUCUCUACUUUAGGGGAUGCUAAACUAAAAUUAAGAUGACUAAAGAUUUUGGAUUAACUCUUAAAGAGCAUAUAGUCUCUUUUUAUCUUAGACCUGUAUAGCUCCUGUUCAUAGUGGCAAACUUUUGGCUUCCUGUUCUGUUGAUGGGACUAUUCAGUUAUGGAUAUUCUAGGGUUUUGAGAGCAUUAGAACCAUGUACAGCCAUGACCAUGAUGUUUCAUCAUUAGCCAUUGAGCACAAUGGAUACAAUAUAGUGUCUACCUCAUGGGAUUAAAACCAUUAAAAUGUAGGCAAUGUAGACUGGCUCUUUUUGUGGCCAAAUUAAUAUGGUGUCCUGACUUCCAUCUGUGCUAGUGAACAGACAGUGUGGAAGGGUUGAUAGGAACAACAAAUCCAGUGCUAUGCUCAGAGAAUAUGAAAAUGUGAUAAAAUGCAUUUCUUGGGGCUACAUAUGGCCCACAUUUUUAUAUCUCUUGAGCAAAAGGAGGUGAGACUAGAAAAAGUGGCAAAUCUGUAUCUCUCUUGCUGUCAGAGAUGAGACUGUGAAAAUAAGGGAUGUAAGCACCAGUUUG